rnacentral:sRNA from 1 species
ACACGACCCGAAGACAGCAGGUGCCGUAAGGCAUAAGGUAAAUACGCCUGCCGAGGACGAUACAUUCAUUUAUGGAAUGACUUUCAGAACCUCUCUGUCUAUGCGGGCAGGGAGGUUUUUUCAU